rnacentral:rRNA from 1 species
GAGGGGCCCGCGUCCGAUUAGCUAGUUGGUGAGGUAACGGCUCACCAAGGCAACGAUCGGUAGCCGGCCUGAGAGGGCGGACGGCCACACUGGGACUGAGACACGGCCCAGACUCCUACGGGAGGCAGCAGUGGGGAAUUGUUCGCAAUGGGCGCAAGCCUGACGACGCAACGCCGCGUGGAGGAUGAAGAUCUUCGGGUCGUAAACUCCUUUCGAUUGGGACGAAUUCCUUCGGGGUGAACAACCCUGGAGGUUGACGGUACCGAGAGAAGAAGCCCCGGCUAACUCCGUGCCAGCAGCCGCGGUAAUACGGGGGGGGCAAGCGUUGUUCGGAAUUACUGGGCGUAAAGGGCUCGUAGGCGGCCAACUAAGUCGGACGUGAAAUCCCUCGGCUUAACCGGGGAACUGCGUCCGAUACUGGAUGGCUUGAGUUUGGGAGAGGGAUGCGGAAUUCCAGGUGUAGCGGUGAAAUGCGUAGAUAUCUGGAGGAACACCGGUGGCGAAGGCGGCAUCCUGGACCAACACUGACGCUGAGGAGCGAAAGCCAGGGGAGCAAACGGGAUUAGAUACCCCGGUAGUCCUGGCCCUAAACGAUGAAUGCUUGGUGU